rnacentral:rRNA from 1 species
AUUGAACGCUGGCGGCAUGCUUUACACAUGCAAGUCGAACGGUAACAGGCCGCAAGGUGCUGACGAGUGGCGAACGGGUGAGUAAUGCAUCGGAACGUGCCCAGUCGUGGGGGAUAACUACUCGAAAGAGUAGCUAAUACCGCAUACGAUCUAUGGAUGAAAGCGGGGGACCGUAAGGCCUCGCGCGAUUGGAGCGGCCGAUGUCAGAUUAGGUAGUUGGUGGGGUAAAGGCUCACCAAGCCAACGAUCUGUAGCUGGUCUGAGAGGACGACCAGCCACACUGGGACUGAGACACGGCCCAGACUCCUACGGGAGGCAGCAGUAGGGAAUUUUGGACAAUGGGCGCAAGCCUGAUCCAGCAAUGCCGCGUGCAGGAAGAAGGCCUUCGGGUUGUAAACUGCUUUUGUACGGAACGAAACGGCUCUGGUUAAUACCCGGGGCUAAUGACGGUACCGUAAGAAUAAGCACCGGCUAACUACGUG